GCCUGGAAGGUGGAAGUGGUCAGUGAGCUAAGAUCAUACUACUGCACUCCAGUUUGGGCAACAGAGGAAGACUAUGUCUCAAAAACAUUAUUAAUAAUAAUAAUGAUACUAUUGACGGUAAAUAUGGGAGCUGACAUUCUGGUAGUUAAUGGACUAAGCACAUGAUAUGCUAUGCAUAUUUAAUCUACACAGAAACUUCAUUCAGGGAUGAAAGUACCAUUGACUGUAACACAAAAGAAAUUGAGGGGUUAACUGACGUUCCCUAAGUCAUAUAUUUAAUUUGAUAAUGAUUGCAAUCCUCUGUGGUUUCAAAAAUGAGACUUGUUAAUUCAAUUAGCAUUCUCUCAUCUUUAGGAGUACUAACAUGAUUUUACACCUUCAAAGUUCAUUUAGAGUUCUUCUUCUGUGAAUUGUCUUGUCAUACUCCGCCUAUUCUUCUUUUUGGGAUUCAUAUUUUCUUAUUGGUUCAUAAGAAUUAUUAUAAACCAUUUUAGGGACACUGACUCUUUGUCAAAUGUGUUGAAAAUAUUUUUCCUCAUUUGCUAUUAUUUGUAUUUGGCACCUUUUGUUGAAUUGAAUUUUGAAACAAUAAAACAAUAAAAGCUAUCAAUUUUUCUAGGGUCUCUAGUUUGAUGUCAGGCUUAGAGAGGCCAAUCUCACCUAGAAUUUUACGCAGUCCAUCAUUCUUUAAGGCUAAUGAUUUUUUAAAAUUACAACUGCAUCGAUGUUUGUAACUGGUAAGGUAGAAAUUCCAGAAUGUUAGUUUCCACAUGGUAAGUCAAUACCUAAAAGAGGUCUUAUUAAAUAAUUAUUUCCUUGUAGAUAUUAACGUAUCAUUUUAUCACAUGGUAAAAUAUUACAUACACAUGGCUCUCUUCCUGCAUUUUCCACUGUGUUCCAUGAACUUUUUCACUGUAGUUCCAGUACUGGCCCUCCUCAGCACUCUAGCUUUAGAGUUCUUUUCACAUUCUGAUAAAGUUUCUCUCAUUAUACUUUUAUUGUAAGAAUUUUCUGUGCAUUCUAGUGUGAUCUCAGUUCUCUCCCUUCUCAUUUAUAAACCAUGACACUUCUGUCCAGAAAGGUGUUGUCGGGCUCCAAGGCAGGUGAGCUUUCCUCCUCUACAAGGUCUCUGAGAACUCAGCUUUGAGCUGCUCCUGCGGCAGCCUAAUGUCCUGCACGUGUGGCCCAGAGGCAGAUGGAGACCACCUGGAGCCGCGUGCCUUUCUCAUUCCUGGCUGGGAUGACAGUAGAAACUGAAUUCUCUGAGCUAGGCCAACACAACAACCGAGAGGGACACAGUUCUGCAUCUUAUUCUGCGUAUUUUAAACGUGUGUCUAAACAUAUUUGCUACAGAGGAGGUGAAAAUCUGUGUGCACUACUGGAUUUUCACGAUUGUUUUACUGGACUCGUUUUGUUGCCUAGAUCUCCAUCUGAGAAACCAGGUGCCCUGCAGAUAGCAGUCUGAGCUCUGAGGGUAGGGCUGCCAAAUAAAGUAUCGAAUGCCCCGGAAAUGCGGAAGUUCAGAUAAAUACCAAGUUUUUAGUUUAAGUAUGUUCCAAAUAUUGCAUGACACGUCAUCCUGUACUACUUAAAAAAAACCCAAAAAA